rnacentral:ncRNA from 1 species
CAUUGCGAGGUGGAAUCUGAAGGAAUCUGGCGGUAAACAUCUGGUCUGACUAACAGAAACUUCAUAUAAGGCAUAUAACCGUGGGUAAGGUUGCUAAACAAAUCAAUGCCCUAUAACUAUUCGGAACGGUUGGUGUAAAUGAAGCAGAUAUAAGGUGGAAAGUUAA